UUUCCGUAGGUGAACCUGCGGGAGGAUCAUUAAAGAGAAUAUGCCCUUCGGGGUAGAUCUCCCACCCUUUGUUUAUAUUACCUUUGUUGCUUUGGCAGGCCCGUCUUCGGACCACCGGCUUCGGCUGGUCAGUGCUUGCCAGAGGACCCAAAACCCUUAUUAUUAAUGUCGUCUGAGUACUAUAUAAUAGUUAAAACUUUCAACAACGGAUCUCUUGGUUCUG
rnacentral:misc_RNA from 1 species